rnacentral:misc_RNA from 1 species
GAUGAAGAACGUAGCGAAAUGCGAUAAGUUAUGUGAAUUGCAGAAUUCAGUGAAUCAUCGAAUCUUUGAACGCACCUUGCGCUCCUUGGUAUUCCGAGGAGCAUGCCUGUUUGAGUGUCAUUUAAUUCUCAACCCCUCCAGCUUUUUCUUUGAGCUGGUUUUGGUGGCUUGGAUGUGGGGGACUAAAAUUGCGGGCCUCUUCAGAGGUCGGCUCCCCUGAAAUGCAUUAGCGGAACCGUUUGCGGUGAACUGUCACUGGUGUGAUAACUAUCUACGCCAAAGACAACUGCUCUCUGGUAGUUCUGCUUCCAAUUGUCCUUACGUUGGACAACGAUAUAUCUGAAUGCUUGACCUCAAAUCAGGUAGGACUACCCGCUGAACUUAAGCAUAUCAAUAAGCGGAGGA